ACAAAUUCUGCAACCUCUAGGAAUUCUAGGAAUAACAAAUAGCCCACAAAACCCACAGCCACACUCCGCCAGGAAUUAUCCAGAACCAAAGACAAGAUACAGAACAGGGGUGAAAUGCUACCAGUUCGCACCAAUUCAGGCGAACUGAUACCAGCGGUAGACGUGGUUCGGAGAACCGAUUUGAUUCAACCUAGGGGAAAAGUGGGCAGAGACGUAAUGAAGAAUUACUCUGUGGUCCAAACUCUGUUUCCUAUUAGUUUCUUCAAGGUAUAUACCAGGUUAUCAUUUCUGAUCAAAACUGCAGACUACAGCACGAAGACCAACUUUCUAUGGUCAUUGAAUUGCUAAUCCAGAUGAGAUGGGAUAAGCCCUGGAAAAACUUUAUGGCGGGCAUCCAUGAAUCACUAAAUUCAGAGAAACACAAGACUAUGCCAUAGCCCCGUGUGAACCCAAAGCUCAAAAAGAUUUGAGCUACAUAUAUAUAUAAAUGGCUGUGUGUGUGU